GCCUGAGCUGGUGUAAUGGUUAACACAUCCGCUUAUCAUCACUGAUGAAAGCUUGUACGCGGAAGUCAGCCCCAAAAGGGGGAGGGAGUUCCUGGUUCAAAUCCUGGGCUUGGUG